rnacentral:lncRNA from 1 species
CUGAUUUCAUGCUUCAAUUCAUUUAAUUAUUACACUCAAUUGCUUGAUACCUCUUGUUCCCUUCACUCAUUAAAUUUUAGACAACAUUUACAUCCAUUACAUGCACCAAUUGAUGCUCCAUCAUUCACAUUUGGAAUCCAAUGCCAUGUGCAACACAUGUUGUUACACCUUUGACCCAUUUGUUGACACAUUUCACCUCCCUUUCCAUCUCUAUGCAAUGUACACAAUCAUUCAUGCUCCCUAGCUACAACACCACUCCAUUUUACCCUUCACACUUUGCAUAAUUACUUCAUUUUCACCCUUGGACCAUUGCACACACCACACACACAAAUUGCCAUGCAUUUCAUCCUUAACCUAACCUAAUUUUCUAAGGUUUUUGGGGCCUAUAAAUACAUGUUUACACCCCUUGGCCAAAGGACAAUCCCCCAUAUUCAUCAUUUUAUCACAACAAUUCGUCCAUACACACCCUAGGAAGCAAAACACCCCAAAAACACCAUUCUAGUGCCUAGAAAACAUAACAGCCACUCCACCUUCUUCCACCCUCUUUGCCUAGUUCUCCACCACCCUCCAACCCUCAAACACUCCUCCACACUUACCCUAAACCUUUCCAUACCAUUCCCCAUCCAUUCUACACCAUAAAAACCACCCAAAACCGUCCAAAACCUCUAGUGCCGCUGCUUGCAAGGAAGGAAAGAGAAGGAACAUCUUGUGCCGUGCCUAUGCCCAAGCCUCGGGAGUGUUGGAGCGUUUCUAGGUGUUUUCUAUCUUUGUUUUUAAUGUCUAAAUUUAUGCAUCUUUGCUUUGUAAGUAUGAGGAACUAAACCCCUCUUAGUUAGGGGGUGAUUCGAAACUAUGUUCAUGCUUGCAAU